GAUCCUGGCUCAGGACGAACGCUGGCGGCGCGCCUAACACAUGCAAGUCGAACGAGAGAGAGGGAGCUUGCUUCUUCGAUCGAGUGGCGAACGGGUGAGUAACGCGUGAGGAACCUGCCUCAAAGAGGGGGACAACAGUUGGAAACGACUGCUAAUACCGCAUAAGCCCACGGGUCGGCAUCGACCUGAGGGAAAAGGAGAAAUCCGCUUUGAGAUGGCCUCGCGUCCGAUUAGCUAGUUGGUGAGG
rnacentral:rRNA from 1 species